rnacentral:lncRNA from 1 species
CUCUUCCUCUUCUGACAUGUCUAAAAGCCAUGAAAAGAAUUUUUGCAAAACCUGGAAUUUAUAAAGGUGUUUUUACUACACUUUUUAGUACAAUUCUACACGUAUUUUCUAAAAAAGUAUUCAUAAAAUCAUAAACAUGUUAACCGGUCAUAUCAUACAUUUGUACAUAAAUGUAGAAUAAUACUUCCAUUACUUCAUAUUUUUUUUCAUUUUAUGUAUUUGACUGUUUGAUUUAUCAAAAGAUGGAUUAAAAUGAAAACCAUUUAGCAAUAUUGCUAGCAUCAGGUAUUUUCUGUUUAAAAAUCUAACCUCAUAAUUUUUUUAUUUAUUUUCUGUAUACCUGUUUUAAUGGACCAAUUUAUAAAAGUUGACUGACCAGUCUUGUAGACUGACUAUGUUUGAGAAUUGAGUUUAUCACAGGAAAUAUGAUUAAAGCAUUAAUGGAGUGGUCCCAGCUAGGGGAAUCAUAUGGGUUACCCAAGGAUUGAAGAGAAAUUAUUAAUUACCUCCCUUUGAUAAUUUCAAAAAGGGGAGAUAAAUUAGUAAUCAAAGGGAUAUACUUUCAGAUGGUCUUUUUAUAUAUUGCAGAUCUGACAGUAUCAAAAAGCAUAAUUUUUUUGAUUAUGUAAAUAGGUAUAUAUAUAUAU